rnacentral:rRNA from 1 species
UACAGAGGGUGCGAGCGUUAAUCGGAAUUACUGGGCGUAAAGCGCACGUAGGCGGCUUGGUAAGUCGGAUGUGAAAUCUCCGGGCUCAACCCGGAAAUGGCAUUGGAAACUACCUUGCUGGAGGAUUUGAGGGGGGAUUGGAAUACUUGGUGUAGCAGUGAAAUGCGUAGAUAUCAAGUGGAACACCAGUGGCGAAGGCGAAUCCCUGGAAAAUACCUGACACUGAGGCACGAAAGCUAGGGGAGCAAACAGG